GAGUAAAGGUAGAGAAACCCGAUUACACCCUUGGAUGAGAGUAAACAGCCCCAAUUCCUCUUGCUCAAAUUGAAUCGAUUCUUGUUCCUCUUGCUCGAUUUGAAAAUCAAUCAACGAACCUCGCCCAAUCUUCAAUCUUUGAAGGAAAUCCGAUUGAAACCUUGAUUCAAGUCUCCUUUUCCCUUGGUUCCGGCUCAGAAAACCCUUAGAGAGAGAAAUAUUAGGGUUUGGGACGUUCUCUC
rnacentral:lncRNA from 1 species